GAAAUGCGAUAAGUAAUGUGAAUUGCAGAAUUCAUUGAAUCAUCGAAUCUUUGAACGCACAUUGCGCCCGCCAGUAUUCUGGCGGGCAUGCCUGUCCGAGCGUCAUUUCAACCAUCAAGCCCCCGGGCUUGUGUUGGGGACCUGCGGCUGCCCGCAGGCCCUGAAAACCAGUGGCGGGCUCGCUGUCACACCGAGCGUAGUAGCAAUCACCUCGCUCAGGGCGUGCUGCGGGUUCCGGCCGUUAAACAGCCUUACAAAACCCAAGGUUGACCUCGGAUCAGGUAGGAAGACCCGCUGAACUUAAGC
rnacentral:misc_RNA from 1 species